rnacentral:rRNA from 1 species
UACGUAGGGGGCGAGCGUUGUCCGGAUUUAUUGGGCGUAAAGAGCUCGUAGGCGGUUACGGAAGUCGGGUGUGAAAGACCGGGGCUUAACCCCGGGGUGUCAUCCGAUACUCCGUUGACUUGAGUCCGGUAGGGGAAGGUGGAAUUCCUGGUGUAGCGGUGAAAUGCACAGAUAUCAGGAGGAACACCGGUGGCGAAGGCGGCCUUCUGGGCCGGUACUGACGCUGAGGAGCGAAAGCUAGGGGAGCGAACAGG